rnacentral:misc_RNA from 1 species
GAUGAAGAACGUAGCGAAAUGCGAUACUUGGUGUGAAUUGCAGAAUCCCGUGAACCAUCGAGUCUUUGAACGCAAGUUGCGCCCGAAGCCAUCAGGUUGAGGGCACGUCUGCCUGGGCGUCACAUAUCGUUGCUCGAUGCCUAUCGCAUUGCGAUAGGACUUAGGGCGAAUGAUGGCUUCCCGUGAGCGUUGUUGCCUCGCGGUUGGUUGAAAAUCGAGUCCUUGGUAGGGUGUGCCAUGAUAGAUGGUGGUCGAGUUAGAACGAGACCGAUCAUGUGCAUGCUCCCCAAAAUAUGGCCUCUGUGACCCACACGCGUCUUUUGACGCUCAUGACGAGACCUCAGGUCAGGCGGGGCUACCCGCUGAAUUUAAGCAUAUCAAUAAGCGGAGGA